rnacentral:lncRNA from 1 species
CAUUAAUAAUGUAACAACUUUAGUAAUGGUAAUGACUGCCUUGAGCAUUGUGGUCGAGUCUCAUCAGGAAAGCCUGCUAUGAUUAAUUAUUGAUUUCUGCUACAAGUAAAGAAAGAAGAAAUGGUGGCACACCCAUCACACGUUUACCAUCGUUGUAUUACAAUAUCUGACUUUUCAAAAACGGUAUAAAAAGUGGAUCCAAGUUCCUGCUGUGAUUAGUGGAAAGUGUUACAUUUCCCCAAAAUAAUUUUUUUUUUUUUUUGAGACAGGGUCUUGCUCUGUCACCCAGGCUGG